AUUUAUUUUACAUUCAGGCGGCUUUCUCAUUAAACUAAAACAAACAGCAUAAGUCUAGAGGAAAUUUCAACAUUCGAAUUCUUAGACAAGAUGUCAAGGUUUCAAAUGGUUAUAGUUGAUGAUAUUUCCCAUCGGAGACGCAAUGUUAACCAAAAAGCAACUAGACCCCCAAAACGGCGGAAACAAACAACGAAAACUGCAAAAACAGUACGAAAGAGGACAGGGCGCCGUGUUGGAAACGUUUCUGUAUCGAGGUUUUUGGGCUUUUACUGGUAGAAGAACUACAAGAAAAUAAGCAAUCGUUGAUAGCUUUUCUGGUUUAAAAAGAAGAACUGGAACGAUAAAAUGAUCCGGAAAAUAGUCAAACUGUAUGAUGGAUGCAUUCAGUGUAGAAUAAAUUGACCAAAUC
rnacentral:sRNA from 1 species